GAUGAACGCUGGCGGCGUGCUUAACACAUGCAAGUCGAACGAUGAAGCCCAGCUUGCUGGGUGGAUUAGUGGCGAACGGGUGAGUAACACGUGAGUAACCUGCCCUUAACUCUGGGAUAAGCCUGGGAAACUGGGUCUAAUACCGGAUAGGAGCGUCCACCGCAUGGUGGGUGUUGGAAAGAUUUAUCGGUUUUGGAUGGACUCGCGGCCUAUCAGCUUGUUGGUGAGGUAAUGGCUCACCAAGGCGACGACGUGUAGCCGGCCUGAGAGGGUGACCGGCCACACUGGGACUGAGACACGGCCCAGACUCCUACGGGAGGCAGCAGUGGGGAAUAUUGCACAAUGGGCGGAAGCCUGAUGCAGCGACGCCGCGUGAGGGAUGACGGCCUUCGGGUUGUAAACCGCUUUCAGUAGGGAAGAAGCGAAAGUGACGGUACCUGCAGAAGAAGCACCGGCUAACUACGUG
rnacentral:rRNA from 1 species